rnacentral:rRNA from 1 species
UACAGAGGGGGCAAGCGUUGUUCGGAAUUACUGGGCGUAAAGGGCUCGUAGGCGGCCAACUAAGUCAGACGUGAAAUCCCUCGGCUUAACCGGGGAACUGCGUCUGAUACUGGAUGGCUUGAGGUUGGGAGAGGGAUGCGGAAUUCCAGGUGUAGCGGUGAAAUGCGUAGAUAUCUGGAGGAACACCGGUGGCGAAAGCGGCGCGCUGGACCACUACUGACGCUGAGGAACGAAAGCUAGGGGAGCAACAGG